GUCCCUUUGGGGGGACAUCCUUUAAAAUAGGAACGAUACAGAAAAGACUGAAACGGUCCCUGCACAAGGAUGAAACGAGCAAGUUGAAAAAUGGUCCAAAUGUAC